UACGGAGGAUCCAAGCGUUAUCCGGAUUUAUUGGGUUUAAAGGGUGCGUAGGUGGCUUAUUAAGUCAGGGGUGAAAGACGGUAGCUUAACUAUCGCAGUGCCUUUGAUACUGAUGAGCUUGAAUGAACUAGAGGUAGGCGGAAUGUGACAAGUAGCGGUGAAAUGCAUAGAUAUGUCACAGAACACCAAUUGCGAAGGCAGCUUACUAUGGUUUUAUUGACACUGAGGCACGAAAGCGUGGGGAGCAAACAGG
rnacentral:rRNA from 1 species